CGGCGGACGGGUGAGUAACACGUGGAUAACCUACCUAUAAGACUGGGAUAACUUCGGGAAACCGGAGCUAAUACCGGAUAAUAUAUUGAACCGCAUGGUUCAAUAGUGAAAGACGGUUUUGCUGUCACUUAUAGAUGGAUCCGCGCCGCAUUAGCUAGUUGGUAAGGUAACGGCUUACCAAGGCAACGAUGCGUAGCCGACCUGAGAGGGUGAUCGGCAACACUGGAACUGAGACACGGUCCAGACUCCUACGGGAGGCAGCAGUU
rnacentral:rRNA from 1 species